rnacentral:rRNA from 1 species
CAGGCUUAACACAUGCGAGUCGAGGGGCAGCAUGGUCUUAGCUUGCUAAGGCCGAUGGCGACCGGCGCACGGGUGAGUAACACGUAUCCAACCUGCCGUCUACUCUUGGACAGCCUUCUGAAAGGAAGAUUAAUACAAGAUGGCAUCAUGAGUCCACAUGUUCACAUGAUUAAAGGUAUUCCGGUAGACGAUGGGGAUGCGUUCCAUUAGAUAGUAGGCGGGGUAACGGCCCACCUAGUCUUCGAUGGAUAGGGGUUCUGAGAGGAAGGUCCCCCACAUUGGAACUGAGACACGGUCCAAACUCCUACGGGAGGCAGCAGUGAGGAAUAUUGGUCAAUGGGCGAGAGCCUGAACCAGCCAAGUAGCGUGAAGGAUGACUGCCCUAUGGGUUGUAAACUUCUUUUAUAAAGGAAUAAAGUCGGGUAUGGAUACCCGUUUGCAUGUACUUUAUGAAUAAGGAUCGGCUAACUCCGUGCCAGCAGCCGCGGUAAUACGGAGGAUCCGAGCGUUAUCCGGAUUUAUUGGGUUUAAAGGGAGCGUAGAUGGAUGUUUAAGUCAGUUGUGAAAGUUUGCGGCUCAACCGUAAAAUUGCAGUUGAUACUGGAUAUCUUGGGUGCAGUUGAGGCAGGCGGAAUUCGUGGUGUAGCGGUGAAAUGCUUAGAUAUCACGAAGAACUCCGAUUGCGAAGGCAGCCUGCUAAGCUGCAACUGACAUUGAGGCUCGAAAGUGUGGGUAUCAAACAGGAUUAGAUACCCUGGUAGUCCACACGGUAAACGAUGAAUACUCGCUGUUUGCGAUAUACAGCAAGCGGCCAAGCGAAAGCGUUAAGUAUUCCACCUGGGGAGUACGCCGGCAACGGUGAAACUCAAAGGAAUUGACGGGGGCCCGCACAAGCGGAGGAACAUGUGGUUUAAUUCGAUGAUACGCGAGGAACCUUACCCGGGCUUAAAUUGCAGAUGAAUUACGGUGAAAGCCGUAAGCCGCAAGGCAUCUGUGAAGGUGCUGCAUGGUUGUCGUCAGCUCGUGCCGUGAGGUGUCGGCUUAAGUGCCAUAACGAGCGCAACCCUUGUUGUCAGUUACUAACAGGUUCCGCUGAGGACUCUGACAAGACUGCCAUCGUAAGAUGUGAGGAAGGUGGGGAUGACGUCAAAUCAGCACGGCCCUUACGUCCGGGGCUACACACGUGUUACAAUGGGGGGUACAGAGGGCCGCUACCACGCGAGUGGAUGCCAAUCCCAAAAACCUCUCUCAGUUCGGACUGGAGUCUGCAACCCGACUCCACGAAGCUGGAUUCGCUAGCAAUCGCGCAUCAGCCACGGCGCGGUGAAUACGUUCCCGGGCCUUGUACACACCGCCCGUCAAGCCAUGGGAGCCGGGGGUACCUGAAGUGCGUAACCGCGAGGAGCGCCCUAGGGUAAAACUGGUGACUGGGGCUAAGU